AGACCGGAACAUUGUUUGGCAAGUAAUUUCAUGUUCGAGCUGGACACUAGUUAUAUUUUAUUACGUUAGCGAUGAGAACCUUUAAUGUUAACAUUGUCUUAUUAAUAUUACACAAAGCCCGGAUGUUCCUGGGAAAACCCAUUACUUCUUGUUUCGUUAUCAGAACACGAUAGUUUGACAACACGCCGAUAACACCAAACAGAUUAAUAUGUCGGACAAGAAAGUCAAAAGUGGCCUUCGUAAACUAUUCACUGUCGUGACAUCGCCAAUAUGGGUACCAGUAGCAGCCGUUGGAGGUUUGGUGGCAGCACCAGUCCAAGCUAUAGGUGAUUCAAUAGACGAGGGUGAUAAAGCGAAUAGCGUUUCAAAAGGCGUUGGCUCACUUCCAGGAAAUGUUGUUGGAAGGACCAUAACAAACCCUUUCAAAGCCAUCGAGAAAGUUGGCGAGGCCAUGUGGGAUGACGAAUAAAUAGAAGAUGUUGCAGAGCUCCAUACUGGAGAGGACAACUGACAUAUACGUUUACUGGUGUAAAAAAUGAUUUAAUAUUUUUGUGUGUGUGUGACAAUGAUUUAGAGCUUGACAUUCGUGCUCAAAUCACGAUAAACAUAAACAUAUGAAUACUAUUGGUUUUUUGUUACAAAAUAUUUCAUAACUUGGAAAAUGAUUUUUAAAUAGAACCAGAGUAAGUUUUAUACCGUCAAAGUGCCGAUAUCAUAAGAAUCAAAAAGGACAUAUAAAAGUGACCAAAGGCGAUAUUAAUAAAUCAGAAAAAUACCCUAUCGCCAAAAAUGCCGGAAGAUACUUUUUGUAUAAAAAAUAAUUAAAAAAAAAAUCAAAAAAAAUCACAUGG